rnacentral:rRNA from 1 species
AGCCAUGCAUGUCUCAGAAUAAGCUUCUUUAUGGCAAAUCUGCGAAUGGCUCAUUAAAACAGUUAUAUUCUACCCGGAGAUGACUCUUAUACGGAUAACUGUGCUAAUUGUAGAGCUAAUACGUGCGUGAAAGCCCGACUUCUCGGAAGGGCUGUAUUUAUUAGAUACAGAACCAAUCCUGGAAACAGGACCUUGGAUGAUUCAUAAUAAACGAACGGAGCGUAUGGCUUGUGCCGGCGCUAUUCCGGUCGAGUUUCUGACCUAUCAGCUUUCGAUGGUGGGGUCUUGGCCCACCAUGGCUUUGACGGGUAACGGAGAAUUAGGGUUCGAUUCCGGAGAGGGAGCCCGAGAAACGGCUACCACAUCUAAGGAAGGCAGCAGGCGCGCAAAUUACCCAAUCCCGACUCGGGGAGGUAGUGACAAGAAAUAACGAUACGGGGUCUUAAUAGGUCUCGCAAUUGGAAUGAGUACAAUUUAAAUCCUUUAACGAGGAUCAAUUGGAGGGCAAGUCUGGUGCCAGCAGCCGCGGUAAUUCCAGCUCCAAUAGCGUAUAUUAAAGUUGUUGCAGUUAAAAAGCUCGUAGUUGGAUUUCGGAGUGGGCCAGUUGGUCCGCCGCAAGGUGUGUUACUGACUGGUUUGCUCUUCUUCGCAAAGACUGCGUGUGCUCUUGAGUGAGUGUGCGUAGAAUUUACGACGUUUACUUUGAAAAAAUUAGAGUGUUCAAAGCAGGCUAUUGCUUGAAUACAUGAGCAUGGAAUAAUGGAAUAGGACUUUGGUUCUAUUUUGUUGGUUGUUCGAGAACCGAAGUAAUGAUUGAUAGGGACAGUUGGGGGCGUCAGUAUUCUGAAGCGAGAGGUGAAAUUCUUGGACCUUCGGAAGACUAACAACUGCGAAAGCAUUCGCCUAGGAUGUUCUCUUUAAUCAAGAACGAAAGUUGGGGGAUCGAAGACGAUCA